AGGGGCGGCCGGGGGAUCGCCUUUGCGCCUUCGUCGGCGCGGGGGAGGAACUUCCGAACUCCUCAGGACACGGUGCCUGCCGAAAGGCAGGACGUGGGGCUCCAAAGGGCCCUGCGAUGGAAAGUGCAACAGAAAAAAUACCGCCCUCCCGCAAGGGGGGGUAAGGGUGAAAUGGCGUGGGUAAGAGCCCACCAGCCCGGGGGCGACCCCGGGGCUUGGCAAACCCCACCGGGAGCAAGGCAGUUGGGCGGCAGCGUGGUCCGCGCGUGCACCGGCUUCGGCCGGGGCGGCCGCCCGGUAGCCGCAUCAGAGAAAUGAUCCUCACCGGGCCUUUGGCCCGGACAGAAUUCGGGGUAUAGGCCGCCCCGUAUU
rnacentral:RNase_P_RNA from 1 species